GUAACAAUAUUUAGGAUUUAACAAAGAUGCAGAAGGAUGGUUAUACGCUUUACAAGACGACGCGCAACCCCGAUCCUAUGCAUGUUCGUCUGGAAGGUCCAGUGGGUUGGGUGGUGCAUUCAGGUGGUCAGAAGGUGGGGUUGAAGAGGAGAAGACAAGCAGAGGGAGAGAGAGAGAGAGAGGAAGAGGAAGCGAAGCAUCCCUGUAGGAGAGCGAGCGAGCGAGAGACAGCUCCCUUUCAGAUAGGAAUCUGGGACAGAUUUUGCCAACAGCCAGAAGCUGGGCCCUUUGACCUUGCUCCUUUUGCCCCCCUAAAAGCCGUAGGUAAGUUUCGUCUCGCUCGCUCGCUCAGUUCAUUCACAUCUGUCCUUUCAGCUUUGGGGUUCCGACCGGGGCUGGAGAAACAAUGGGAGUAA
rnacentral:lncRNA from 1 species